UCACACCCGGUCUCGUUUCGACCCCGGAAGUUAAGCCCGCCAGCGAUCCCGGGUGUACUGUCCUCCGAGAGGGGACGGGAAACCGGGGACGCCGCCGGCC
rnacentral:rRNA from 1 species